AAGCCUCUUAAUGCUUCAUUAGUUGAAAGAUAAUUUUUUCUUUGUUUGCAAAAACUGCCAAUUUCCUGUGCAUCUUCAGCACAUAGUCGUGUUGAAAUUUAAUGUUACGUAAGUAGCAAUAAAAAUGAGUUUGUAUUUUCCCCCUGGUUUAACAAUCCCAUAUCUUUAAAUUCUCUUCUGCAAUUUAUUACAAGAAAGAAUAGUCAACCUUCAUUUUUUAAAAAGGGGCCAUUUGUACUGGAAACCGUGGUGUGUUGGUGAGAGAAUGGUACUUCUCAGAAAGGAGAGGAGCAACUUCAUUGUUUCCUCUCGGGAGCACUUUUUCUCUUGGUGGUGGCUCGUCUCUCCACUUGUUCACCUUUUCUGAGGGCAGGUGGGUCUCCUCGGCUCCUCCCUGCUCAUGCUCCAGGCUGGUCUGGGUCCGUGAGCGCAUGCGCCAGAUGACGUCACUGUCUCACGUGGGCCGGAAAGGGCUUUGUCGGAAGGAAAUAGGGCGCUGGCCGGGGACAUACCAGAGGCUCCAGGAGCAGAGGGAUACAGGCAGAAAUUCCCACUGAUGUAGCUAUUCCUUCAACGCGGAAGGAGUGGGUGUGGACUCUGCUGCUGUGGUCCUGGACUGAGUGUCCCCACAACACGUUCAUCGCGGGCAGACUCGGAAGACAGUAGUCUCUGUUCCAGGAGAAGCCAUGUCACUGAAGAGAGAAUGGAGGUCAGGCAGGAUUUGUCCCCUCAGGAUUGGCCAACGGGACAGGACUGACUGGGCAAAACACCCCGGUGAGGCGGCCUGUUCACAAGCUCUAUGUGAGUAGCAGGAUGAUUGCAGGUUGGUGGGAAGAGGAUGAUCAGGGAUGGAGGGGAGUUGGCUGGUGAUGGUGGGAACCCACUCGGGAAGCAGGGAGCGCAAUGUCUUCUCCAUGCCACUGCCUCUAACCCCUGGCGUGUGGCUCUGUGAGGUGAGCUCUAGGACUGCCCUGC